rnacentral:rRNA from 1 species
AGGAAGUAAAAGUCGUAACAAGGUUUCCGUAGGUGAACCUGCGGAAGGAUCAUUCAUAAUAAGUGUUUUAUGGCACUUUUUAAAUCCAUAUCCACCUUGUGUGCAAUGUCAGUCGGUCUUCUUUAUGGAGAUCGGCCAAACAUCAACCUAAUUUUUUAACUCUUUGUCUGAAAAAUAUUAUGAAUAAAAUAAUUCAAAAUACAACUUUCAACAACGGAUCUCUUGGCUCUCGCAUCGAUGAAGAACGCAGCGAAAUGCGAUACGUAAUGUGAAUUGCAGAAUUCAGUGAAUCAUCGAAUCUUUGAACGCAUAUUGCGCUCUUUGGUAUUCCGAAGAGCAUGCUUGUUUGAGUAUCAGUAAACACCUCAAAACUUUUUUUUAUUUUUGAAAAACAGUUUUGGACUUGAGCAAUCCCAACACCAAUCUUUUUUAGAUCGGUGGCGGGUUGCUUGAAAUGCAGGUGCAGCUGGACAUUCUCCUGAGCUAAAAGCAUAUUUAUUUAGUCCCGUCAAACGGAUUAUUACUUUUGCUGCAGCUAAUAUAAAGGGAGUUUGACCGUUUUGGCUGACUGAUGCAGGAUUUCACAAGGGUCGGCAACGAUUCUUGUAAAACUCGAUCUCAAAUCAAGUAAGACUACCCGCUGAACUUAAGCAUAU